GGCUUAGUGGUACAGCUUGGUUAUUAUACCCGAGUAAAUGCUCUGGGAGACCAUGGGUUCGAAUCCCAUCUGGGCUU